CGCACAUUGCGCCCUUUGGCAUUCCGAAGGGCAUGCCUGUUCGAGCGUCAUUAUCACCCCUCAAGCCCCCGGCUUGGUGUUGGACGAUUUGGCGGAGGCCCCUCACGGGGCUCCCGCCCGUCCCAAAGACAAUGACGGCGGCCUCGUUGGACCCCCGGUACACUGAGUUCUUCACGGGACACGUACUGGAGUAAGGGUUCGCGGGGCACGGUCUGCCUCCCCUCAGGGAGAAUUUUUUACAAGGUUGACCUCGGAUCAGGUAGGGAUACCCGCUGAACUUAA
rnacentral:misc_RNA from 1 species